rnacentral:ncRNA from 1 species
UAGUAGCACGGUGAUGGGGUGCCACCGACUGAACCGCCGUUUUGGCUGAUGACUCCUACAAAAAU